rnacentral:rRNA from 1 species
GACGAACGCUGGCGGCGUGCCUAACACAUGCAAGUCGAGCGGAGAUUUCUUUGGCACUGAGUACUCUAGUAAAGACGCAAAGGAAGCGUCAUGAAGAAACAACAUAGAUGUUAAAAACACUGAUAAAAGUUUCUUCAUCACGCGUUUUUAAAGUGCCAACACAAAGAGGGAAGGAUAAGUAGAGUAUUGAGUGCCAAAGAAAUCUUAGCGGCGGACGGGUGAGUAACACGUGGGCAACCUGCCUUGAAGUGGGGGAUAACACCGGGAAAUCGGUGCUAAUACCGCAUAACAUACACAAACUGCAUGGUGAGUGUAUCAAAGGAGCAAAUCCGCUUUAAGAUGGGCCCGCGGCUGAUUAGCUAGUUGGUAAGGUAACGGCUUACCAAGGCGACGAUCAGUAGCCGACCUGAGAGGGUGACCGGCCACACUGGAACUGGGACACGGUCCAGACUCCUACGGGAGGCAGCAGUCGAGAAUAGUCUACAAUGGCCGGAAGG